rnacentral:tRNA from 1 species
UACAUACUAGUGUAGCUGCACAAAAAGUUUUGAUCUUUUAGGGUUUGGUGGAAUUCCAUUGUAUGUAU